GGAUUAUAGUUUAAACUUAAAAUAUUUAAAUUGCACUUAAAUGAUAUUAUUAAUUAAUCUGA
rnacentral:tRNA from 1 species